AACAUACCAAGGAGUAAAGGACUAAUUGAGGAUGACUAGUCAUUCUAUAAUUGGAAGCACGAAUGAGGCUAAAAGAAUGAUAGUAUGUUGUUCGAUUCCAAAGGUGAAAACCAAAGACGGAGAAUUCUUAUGGAGUCCUGUCUAUUUUUAUUAACCCUGUGAAUUGAAACAUCUUAGUAACAGGAGGAAAAGAAAUCAACCGAGAUUUUAACGAGUAGUGGCGAGCGAAAGUAAAUGAAAACAUUCAUGUUUUGAUCCGAAAUAUCUUAUCGAUGUUUCGAUUUUUUCAAAGACCCCGUACCGGGUCUUGGGGCAUGUCUGAAAUUGAACAUCACACACUUACCCAUGAUAAAGGAGAUGGUUUGGAUCUUCGAUUCUACCAUUUUCAGGCAGUGUGUUUAUGGAAUGGGUGGCCAAAGAAGGUGAAAGUCCUGUAAAUUUCAGUAGUAGACCACUUAUGGAGUAGAACGAAUUUUGUUCAGAAGAAAGGGGUACCAUCCUCUAAUAAAUUAAAUAUGAUAGAAUGAACGAUAGUGAAGAGUACCGUGAGGGAAAGUUGAAAAGUACCUCUAAGAGAACGAAGCCUUCCGAGGCUUCGAAUAUCAAUGCCGGAGGGGUGAAAUAGAUCCUGAAUCAGUUAAGUCUAAAAGCAGUUUGAGCCAAGAUUAUGGUGAAGACGUACCUUUUGCAUAAUGGGUCAGCAAGUUAAUUUUUGGAGCAAGAGAACAAAAGAACGUAUCUUUGGUACGUUGGUGAUCUAAGUGAAAACAAAAGAACAAAGUGAGACUUAGUCUUACCCCUAUACAUAAUUUUGCACUCAGUGUGAUUGAUGAUCUGGGUGUUCUGUGAAGUUCCAGAAAUUAGACCCGAAACCAAGUGAUCUAUCCAUGGCCAGGUGUAAGACCGAACGGGUGAUCGUAGUAAUGCUCUCCGAUGAGCUUUGGAUAGCCGUGAAAUGCGAAUCGAACUUGGAAAUAGCUGGUAUACCGCGAAAACUAUUGAAGUAGAACGCUAAACCUACAAACGAGGGUACAGCACUGGAAGAAAAUUCUAAACUGGAAAUAUCGUUGACUUCAUAUGAGUCCUGAGACCCCCCUCCGGGGGGGUUUACAUUUUUAGGUUUAGUAGUCAGAUUAUCUGUGAUAAGGUAGUUAAUCAAAAGGGAAACAGCCCAGACCAAAAGUUAAGGUCUCAAAUGAUUACUAAGUGAAAUUAACCGAAAACAAAGCGACAAGCCCGAAAAAAAUCACAUAGAUAUAUAUCUUCAUGUGGGUAGAGGGAAAUGAUGGUUUUACUAUCAUGAGUCGAGACAAUCACUUUGUGGGCUUGGAAGCAGCCAUCAAUUAGAGAAAGCGUUACAGCUCAAUGAUCGAGAAAGAAACCCAUCAGGGUUCUCAUAUAUGAUUUUGUUUCUCGGGAAAAUGUAUCGGGUCAGACUCUUAUCGGCCUCAGUAACCGAAUUGAAAAGAGUUGGGGGUAUACCUUUGGUGGCUCUGCCCCUUUAAGUAAUCAACCGAAACUUUGGCAAGCAUGAUGUGAGACAUGGUAACGUGACUUAUCAUUAUGUUUGGGUAGCGGUACAUUCAAUUGAUGGAGUGAAGGGAAAACGAGAGUUUUUCUGGAAUGGAUUUGAAGAGAGAAUGCUGACAUGAGUAACUAAAAAGGAAAAAAAAUCCUUCCCCUAAAAUUCAAGGGUAAAAAAUAAUCGGUUUCUAAGUCGAGACACAACUGUGUUUGACGAUGAAGAGGAACGAAUCUGAUUUCGUUCUGAUUUAUAACCGUACCUUCCAACGCUGGAGAAUGAGCUGGUAAACAGUGAAGGGGAAUGGGAGAACCAUCUUGAAGGAACUAGGCAAAAUGACUCUGUAACUUCGGGAGAAGGAGGAGAAGAAUGAAAGUGACAUUGGUCAUUGAAAGAGAAGAUACUUCGUAUCUUGUCCAAACCCCGUUGGGGUUUCGAUUUCUUCUAAAAAAAUAGAGAGGGGCAACUGUUUACUAAAAACACAGGAGUCAGCAACCCCGUAAGGGUUAGUAUUGGCUCUGAAGUCUGUCCGGUGCAAGUAAGUGAAAGAUGAAAGAAAGAGAUGAAGGACCCCGGCCCGAAGGGCCGGGGGACUUGAUCCAAAAAGUCCGCCCCUUCGGGGCGUUCCUUUUUCGAUUUUUUUCUCAUAACCUCUUGUAAACGACGGCCUUAACCAUAAGGGUCCUAAGGUAGCGAAAUUCCUAGGCUAAUAAUUGUAGUCCUGCAUGAAUGGCGUAAUGAUCCCUCUACUUUCUACAAGAUGGACCCAGUGAAAUUGAAUUAUCCGUGCAGAUGCGGAUUACCAUUAGCCAGACGAGAAGACCCUAUGAAGCUUUACUGGAAUUAAACUUUGUUUCGUUGGUGAACUGAAUGUAAAACUUGGUCUUUUUCUUCAUUCACCGAUAAUACGGAAAUUAUGUUCCUUUAAGUUUAAGUGACAGUUUAACUGGGGAGGUUUCCUGCUAAAUAGUAACGAAGGAGUACAAAGGUAUAAUUGAAGUCACUCUGUAAUUGACUUGAAGAAAGGUCAUAUCCUUUCACCCGAUUCCUGUAAUCGGGUUUAAAUUGUGCAAUGGCAUAAAUAUGCUUGACUGUAAGACUAUUACUCGUCGAACAGGGAGGUAACUCGGUCAUAGUGAUCCCCAAAUUCUUUAUGGAAAGGUUUGGGCUCAACGGAUAAAAGCUACUCUAGGGAUAACAGGCUGAUCAUUCUUUAGAGUUCCUAUCGACGGAAUGGUUUGGCACCUCGAUGUCGGCUCAUCGCAUCCUGGGGGUGAAGAAGCUCCCAAGGGUUGGACUGUUCGUCCAUUAAAGCGGUACGUGAGCUGGGUUUAGAACGAUGUAAAUCAGUUCGGACUCUAUCUACUAAUGGGAAGAAGGAAGUGACAAGAAUAGAAUCCUAGUACGCAAGGAAUGGAUUGUGUGAACCUCUAGUGUACCUGUUGACUCACGCAGAAUAUGCGUUCUCAUCGCAGGGUAGCCACGUUCAUAAAAAAUAAGAGUUGAAAGCAUCUAAAACUCGAAGUUGAUCUUGAAACUUCUUUAAAACACGCUAGAGACUAUAGCGAAAUAGGUCAUAAGUAUGAUAACCCGAGAGGGUCGGCUGAAUGAUACUAAUAGUUAUUUAUCCUUGGUAUGUU
rnacentral:rRNA from 1 species